GGGCUCGUGGUUUAGUGGCUAUGACGUCUCCCUUACACGGAGAAGGUCGCCAGUUCGAUUCUGGCCGGGCCCA
rnacentral:tRNA from 1 species